GACGGGGGAUGCAAGCGUUAUCCGGAAUCACUGGGCGUAAAGCGUCUGUAGGUGGUGAUGCAAGUCACUGGUGCAAAACUCUGGCUCAACCGGAGGAAAGCCAGUGAAACUGCAUGACUAGAGUGUGUGAGAGGUAGAAGGAAUUCCCUGAGUAGCGGUGAAAUGCGUAGAUACAGGGAAGAACACCGGAGGCGAAAGCGUUCUACUGGAACACAACUGACACUGAGAGACGAAAGCCAGGUGAGCGCAUGGG
rnacentral:rRNA from 1 species